GCAGCAUUCUGUGUUGUUGGAAUCCCCAGACCCUUCAGUAGAGCUCUGUUCCUGGCAGAACUGCCGCCGGAAGCCCAGAUCAUUUACUCUGGGGGAUGCAAGUUACCAUGCCUUGUCACAAAGACUAAGGCAGCCCUACGGAGAAGACUCCAGGCCUCCCACCGAUACCCAUCAGAGACCUGCCAUCUCUGAAUGUGCCACCUUCACACAAGACCCUCCAGCUGCAGGCAAGCCUUCCAGAUAACUGCAGCCCCAUCUGACAUCUGGCCUGAACCUCUGAGAAAGCAUGAGUCAGAACCACACCCAAGUUCCUCAUCCAAAGAUACUGUGGGAAAUAAGACCUGUCUGUUGUUUUAAACUACUUAAUGUUGGGAUAAUAUAUACUUAGCAAUAGAUCAUGAAUAAGCCCCGUUUCUGCUGUCAUUUUCUGUUAUGCCCCAUUUCAUAUCGGCUUAGUCUUCAAGCAUACUUCCCUCAUUGGGGUGAAAUGGUUGUAUUAGUUUCAGGUCCAACAAA
ensembl:lncRNA novel transcript